rnacentral:sRNA from 1 species
UACACUGCUAUUUUAGAUACUACUGUGAA